GUUGUCGUGGCCGAGUGGUUAAGGCGAUGGAUUUGAAGUCUUUUGGGAUCUUCCCGCGUAGGUUCGAAUCCUGCCGGCGUCA
rnacentral:tRNA from 1 species